AGCGAACGCUGGCGGCAGGCCUAACACAUGCAAGUCGAACGAAGUCUUCGGAGUCUAGCGGCGGACGGGUGAGUAACACGUGGGCAACCUGCCUGUAAGACUGGGAUAACACCGGGAAACCGGUGCUAAUACCGGAUAAUCCUUUUCCUCUCAUGAGGAAAAGCUGAAAGUCGGUUUCGGCUGACACUUACAGAUGGGCCCGCGGCGCAUUAGCUAGUUGGUGAGGUAACGGCUCACCAAGGCGACGAUGCGUAGCCGACCUGAGAGGGUGAUCGGCCACACUGGGACUGAGACACGGCCGAGACUCCUACGGGAGGCAGCAGUAGGGUAUCUUCCACAAUGGACGAAAGUCUGAUGGAGCAACGCCGCGUGAGCGAUGAAGGCCUUCGGGUCGUAAAGCUCUGUUGGUAGGGAAGAACAAGUACCGGAGUAACUGCCGGUACCUUGACGGUACCUAACCAGAAAGCCACGGCUAACUACGUGCCAGCCGCCGCGGUAAUAC
rnacentral:rRNA from 1 species